AGCUGAGGAAAAGGAAACCAACCGGGAUUGCCUUAGUAACGGCGAGUGAAGCGGCAAAAGCUCAAAUUUGAAAUCUGGUACCUUCGGUGCCCGAGUUGUAAUUUGGAGAGGGCAACUUUGGGGCCGUUCCUUGUCUAUGUUCCUUGGAACAGGACGUCAUAGAGGGUGAGAAUCCCGUGUGGCGAGGAGUGCGGUUCUUUGUAAAGUGCCUUCGAAGAGUCGAGUUGUUUGGGAAUGCAGCUCUAAGUGGGUGGUAAAUUCCAUCUAAAGCUAAAUAUUGGCGAGAGACCGAUAGCGAACAAGUACAGUGAUGGAAAGAUGAAAAGAACUUUGAAAAGAGAGUGAAAAAGUACGUGAAAUUGUUGAAAGGGAAGGGCAUUUGAUCAGACAUGGUGUUUUGUGCCCUCUGCUCCUUGUGGGUAGGGGAAUCUCGCAUUUCACUGGGCCAGCAUCAGUUUUGGUGGCAGGAUAAAUCCAUAGGAAUGUAGCUUGCCUCGGUAAGUAUUAUAGCCUGUGGGAAUACUGCCAGCUGGGACUGAGGACUGCGACGUAAGUCAACACAAUGCAACGA
rnacentral:rRNA from 1 species